rnacentral:rRNA from 1 species
GAUGAACGCUGACAGAAUGCUUAACACAUGCAAGUCUUUGGCGAAGCUGUGCUUGCACAGCCCUAGCCAAGGCGGACGGGUGAGUAACGCGUAAGGGACUUGCCCUGCAGUCAGGGAUAACAGACGGAAACGACUGAUAAAACCUGGUAAAGUCAGGCGGACUCAUGUCCAGCCUGAUGAAAAGGAAUGCUGCAGGAGAGCCUUGCGUCCUAUUAGCUUGUUGGUGGGGUAACGGCCCACCAAGGCGAUGAUAGGUAGCCGGCCUGAGAGGGUGGACGGCCACAAGGGGACUGAGAUACGGCCCUUACUCCUACGGGAGGCAGCAGUGGGGAAUAUUGGACAAUGGGGGCAACCCUGAUCCAGCAAUUCUGUGUGCACGAUGAAGGUCUUCGGAUUGUAAAGUGCUUUCAGCAGGGAAGAAAAAAAUGACGGUACCUGCAGAAGAAGCGACGGCUAAAUACGUGCCAGCAGCCGCGGUAAUACGUAUGUCGCGAGCGUUAUCCGGAAUUAUUGGGCAUAAAGGGCAUCUAGGCGGCCGGAUAAGUCUGGGGUGAAAACUUGCGGCUCAACCGCAAGCCUGCCCUGGAAACUAUGCGGCUAGAGUGCUGGAGAGGUGGACGGAACUGCACGAGUAGAGGUGAAAUUCGUAGAUAUGUGCAGGAAUGCCGAUGAUGAAGAUAGUUCACUGGACGGCAACUGACGCUGAAGUGCGAAAGCUAGGGGAGCAAACAGG